rnacentral:rRNA from 1 species
UACGAAGGGGGCUAGCGUUGUUCGGAAUUACUGGGCGUAAAGAGUGUGUAGGCGGUGCUCUAAGUUCGGUGUGAAAUCUCCUGGCUUAACUGGGAGGGUGCGCCGGAAACUGGAGUGCUCGAGCGUGGGAGAGGAAAGCGGAAUUCCUGGUGUAGCGGUGAAAUGCGUAGAUAUCAGGAGGAACACCUGCGGUGUAGACGGCUUUCUGGACCAUUGCUGACGCUGAGACACGAAAGCGUGGGUAGCAAACAGG